rnacentral:lncRNA from 1 species
UUCUCCUUAUCCAUUUGAUAUAAGUGAUAUGCAUUUCUAUCUUGUAAACCAUAAGUGAUAGAGACCUAGGAUCUUUUGAUUUGAGGUCCUUGGUCCAAAAAAAAUGAAAAUUAGGUCAAGGUCAAAGGUCAAGGUCAUAUUCUAAUUUUUUAAUUUGGCUUAUUUUCACUUAUUCCCAAAAACCGUAUAAGAUAUUAACAAAUUA